AGUGAACGCUGGCGGUAGGCCUAACACAUGCAAGUCGAACGGCAGCACAGUAAGAGCUUGCUCUUACGGGUGGCGAGUGGCGGACGGGUGAGGAAUACAUCGGAAUCUACCUUUUCGUGGGGGAUAACGUAGGGAAACUUACGCUAAUACCGCAUACGACCUUCGGGUGAAAGCAGGGGACCUUCGGGCCUUGCGCGGAUAGAUGAGCCGAUGUCGGAUUAGCUAGUUGGCGGGGUAAAGGCCCACCAAGGCGACGAUCCGUAGCUGGUCUGAGAGGAUGAUCAGCCACACUGGAAGUUGAGACACGGUCCAGACUCCUACCGGGAGGCAGCAGUGGGGAAUAUUGGACAAUGGGCGCAAGCCUGAUCCAGCCAUACCGCGUGGGUGAAGAAGGCCUUCGGGUUAAGUCUGUUGUGAAAGCCCUGGGCUCAACCUGGGAAUUGCAGUGGAUACUGGGCAACUAGAGUGUGGUAGAGGGUAGUGGAAUUCCCGGUGUAGCAGUGAAAUGCGUAGAGAUCGGGAGGAACAUCCAUGGCGAAGGCAGCUACCUGGACCAACACUGACACUGAGGCACGAAAGCGUGGGGAGCAAACAGGAUUAGAUACCCUGGUAGUCCACGCCCUAAACGAUGCGAACUGGAUGUUGGGUGCAAUUUGGCACGCAGUAUCGAAGCUAACGCGUUAAGUUCGCCGCCUGGGGAGUACGGUCGCAAGACUGAAACUCAAAGGAAUUGACGGGGGCCCGCACAAGCGGUGGAGUAUGUGGUUUAAU
rnacentral:rRNA from 1 species